rnacentral:rRNA from 1 species
CCUACGGGAGGCAGCAGUGAGGAAUAUUGGUCAAUGGACGCAAGUCUGAACCAGCCAUGCAGCGUGCAGGAAGACGGCUCUAUGAGUUGUAAACUGCUUUUGUACGAGGGUAAACGCAGAUACGCGUAUCUGUCUGAAAGUAUCGUACGAAUAAGGAUCGGCUAACUCCGUGCCAGCAGCCGCGGUAAUACGGAGGGUUCAAGCGUUAUCCGGAUUUAUUGGGUUUAAAGGGUGCGUAGGCGGUCGGAUAAGUUAGAGGUGAAAUCCCGAGGCUCAACUUCGGAAUUGCCUCUGAUACUGGUCGGCUAGAGAGUAGGUGAGGUAGGCGGAAUGUAUGGUGUAGCGGUGAAAUGCUUAGAGAUCAUACAGAACACCGAUUGCGAAGGCAGCAUACCAAGCUACUGCUGACGUUGAGGCACGAAAGCGUGGGGAGCAAACAGGAUUAGAUACCCUAGUAGUC